rnacentral:tRNA from 1 species
GUUAUGGCUUAGCGGUAGAGUGCUCGCCUAGCGCAUGCAAGGCUCUGGGUUCAAUCCUCAGCAUCACA